AAGUCGUAACAAGGUUUCCGUAGGUGAACCUGCGGAAGGAUCAUUAUCGAAUGAAAUCGGAGUCGGUUGUCGCUGGCCUCUUCACCGAGGCAUGUGCACGCCUUCUCUGUUCAUCCACACACACCUGUGCACUUGUGAGACGGAUUAACCCUCUCGGGGGGACGGUCCGUCUAUCAUACAUAAACUCCAAUAUAUAAAUUUGAAUGUAAUCAGAUGUAACGCAUCUUUAAACUAAGUUUCAACAACGGAUCUCUUGGCUCUC
rnacentral:misc_RNA from 1 species